rnacentral:pre_miRNA from 1 species
UAGCUGUAUGUGUAUGUAUGUGCAGUAUGUGUAGCUGUAUAUGCAGUAUGUGCACAUACAUACACAUACAGCUACACAUACUGCACAUACAUACACAUACAGUUA